rnacentral:rRNA from 1 species
GAUGAACGCUGGCGGCGUGCCUAAUACAUGCAAGUCGAGCGAACGGACGAGAAGCUUGCUUCUCUGAUGUUAGCGGCGGACGGGUGAGUAACACGUGGAUAACCUACCUAUAAGACUGGGAUAACUUCGGGAAACCGGAGCUAAUACCGGAUAAUAUUUUGAACCGCAUGGUUCAAAAGUGAAAGACGGUCUUGCUGUCACUUAUAGAUGGAUCCGCGCUGCAUUAGCUAGUUGGUAAGGUAACGGCUUACCAAGGCAACGAUGCAUAGCCGACCUGAGAGGUGGAUCGGCCACACGGGAACUGAGACACGGUCCAGACUCCAACGGGAGGCAGCAGUAGGGAAUCUGCCGCAAUGGGCGAAAGCCUGACGGGGCAACGCCGCGUGAUUGAUGAAGGUCUUCGGUUCGUAAAACUCUGUUAUUAGGGAAGAACAUAUGUGUAAGUAACUGUGCACAUCUUGACGGUACCUAAGCAGAAAGCCACGGCAAACUACGU